rnacentral:lncRNA from 1 species
AGGUAUUCAAAUUCCUAGAUUUUUUGGCUCUAUGGGAAAUCUACGGUAUCUUAACCUUUCUAGAACUCGAAUCGGAGGAAUGAUACCUCAUCAUCUUGGAAAUCUCUCCAAUCUGCAGUUUCUGGACCUUAGUUCGAAUUAUUUAUUAUACGUUGAUAAUUUUUGGUGGCUCUCUGGUCUUUCUUUCUUGGAACACCUUGAUUUGCGUUCUGUGAAUCUAAGCAAAGCCUUUGAUUGGCUGAUGGUGACAAACAACUCCCUUCUUUGGUAGAAUUGAGAUUGGCAAAUUGUCAACUCCAUCACUUCUCACAACUAGCCACCGCAAAUUUUUCGUCUCUCACAGUCCUUGACCUUUCCGAUAACCAAUUUGAUAAAUGGUUUAUUCCUAGCUGGGUUUUUGGUCUCAGUCAUUUACUCUUUCUUGACCUAGGUUUUAAUAAUUUUCAAGGUCCGAUUCCUGGGGGACUUCAAAACUUGACUUCCCUUAGACAUCUGGGUUUAGAUUCCAACCACUUCAACUCUUCAAUUCCCAACUGGUUGUAUAGAUUUAUCCAUCUUGAGUACCUUAGUCUUAGCAACAAUAGCUUGCAAGGUACAAUUGAUUCAGAGGCCCUUGGAAACUUAACUUCCAUCAGUUGGCUUGAUCUCUCCUUAAAUAUGGGUAUUGAAGGGAGAAUUCCAAGGUCCAUGGCAAGUCUUUGUAAUUUAAAGUCACUUAACCUUCGGGGUGUCCAUUUGAGCCAAGAAAUUUAUGAGAUUUUAGAUAUUUUCUCAGGAUGUGUUUCCAAUGGAUUAGAGAGUUUGGAUUUACGAAGUAAUUCAAUAUAUGGUCAUUUGACUGAUCAGCUUGGCCAAUUUAAAAAUAUUGUCACUCUUGAUUUUGCUAAUAAUUCUAUUGUUGGUCUUAUUCCAGAGUCAUUGGGUCAGCUCUCAACCUUGAGAGUACUACGAAUAAAUGAUAAUAAGUUAAACGGAACGCUUUCUGAAAUCCACUUUGCCAAUCUAACAAAACUGUCAUGGUUCAGGGUCGAUGGGAACAAAUUGACGUUAGGAGUGAAGCAUGAUUGGAUUCCUCCUUUCCAACUUGUUGCCUUAGGAUUGCGUAAUUGUUAUGUAGGAUCCCGUUUUCCUCUAUGGCUUUAUUCACAAAAGCAUUUACAGUUUCUAUAUUUAGUCAAUUCAAGUAUUUCAGAUAUUUUUCCAAUUAGAUUUUUGAAAUCUGCUUCCCAAUUAAAGUUUUUAGAUCUCGGCCAAAACCAAAUUCAUGGGCCAAUACCAAAUCUAACCGAGUUUACUGGACUGUUGAUUCUUUCCGUGUAUUCGAAUAAUAUGUCGGGUCCAUUACCCCUCAUAUCAUCCAAUCUAGUUUUCCUAGAUCUUUCUAAUAACUUAUUCUCUGGAUCAAUUUCUCCUUUCUUGUGUUAUAGAAUCAAUGAGACGAAGAGCUUAAAUGCUCUUCAGCUAAAUGAUAAUUAUUUAAAUGGAGAAUUACCUGAUUGUUGGAUGAGUUAUCAAAAUUUGAAGACACUCAAACUAAGCAACAACAAAUUUACUGGUAAUCUUCCAUACUCAAUGGGUAGUCUAACUUCUCUUGUUUGGUUGCAUCUUGGCGAAAACAGACUGUCUGGGGAUAUACUUGUUUCUCUUAAAAAUUGUACAGCAUUAGAGUCACUUGAUGUUGGUGAAAAUGAGUUUGUGGGCAAUAUUCCGACAUGGAUUGGAGAAAGAUUUUCAAGAAUGGUUGUACUCAUCCUUCGUUCCAAUAAGUUUCAUGGCCCUUUACCCACAGGAUUAUGUGAUCUAGCUUUUCUUCAAAUAUUAGACAUUGUGGACAACAAUCUCUCUGGAGCUAUACCAAAUUGCAUUAAUAAUCUCACAGGCAUGGUCACAGCAUGCUCUUUUACACGCAGUGUUCAGCAAUAUCUACCACUUCCUAUAGACGUGGGUGUGAUUCUUGUAGAGAAGGCUUCAGUUGUGAGCAAAGGGGAAAUGGUUGACUAUGAAGAUAUUCUUAAUUUGGUAAGGAUGAUAGAUUUUUCCAGGAAUAAUUUCUCAGGAAAGAUUCCUUUGGAAGUGUCAAAUCUUAAAGCACUACAGUCAUUGAAUUUUUCGUACAACUCUUUCACCGGAAGAAUUCCUGAAAGUAUUGGUGUCAUGAGAUCAUUGGAAUCCAUUGAUUUUUCUGCAAACCAACUUUCGGGUGAAAUUCCAGAGAGCUGUCAAGUUUGACGUUUUUGAAUCAUUUGAAUUUGUCCAACAACAACUUGACUGGGAAAAUUCCUUCAAGCACUCAACUGCAGAGCUUUGAUGUAUCUAGUUUCGCUGGCAAUGAUCUCUGUGGAGCUCCUCUUCCUAAGAAUUGUACUGAGAAUGUUUCAAUUUCUGAAGAUGAGAAUGGAGAUGAAGAUGAAGACGAAGUGGACCACUGGUUGUAUGUAAGCGCGGCACUUGGAUUUGUGGUGGGAUUUUGGUGUUUUAUGGGCCCUUUGCUUGUCAGAAGAAGAUGGAGGUACAAGUAUUAUCAUUCCCUGAAUCGUCUUGGGGACAGAUUUGUUGGUGCCAUAAGAAAAUGUUGCUAGGUUUUCUCUGUUUCUUAUAGUUGUUCUGCUUCCAAGUAUUAUUUGAAAUAAACGAGUGGCCUUUUAUUUGUUUUGUGCCUGAAAGUGAACACUCGUGUGAAAUAAUUUUAAACAAACAGGACGAUAUUACAAAUCCUAGGAGAUCAUUCCUACUCAAAAAAAUUAAUCCUGAUAAAUCAAAAGUGAAAAGAUUUUAUUGUAUGGACAGUUCACCACGUAUAAGCUCAUUGAUUUCUAGAUUAAAAAAGAUCAUAAAUCACAACAUUGGUAUCAAAAUGUUGAUUCGUAAUACGAUAUUUAAAACAAAAAUGGAAAGAGAAAAAGAUAUUCGUAAUAAAUCACAACAGUUUUUUUUUUCCCAGGUGCAUCUGCUUGUUGGAAUAAUCAUUCCAUUCUGCAGUCUCAGAUCCAAAAUUUACUCAAGGGGGGAUAUUAUAUUCUCGUAACAAACAAAGUCACAUUAACAAGCAACAUGAAACUUUGAUAGAGAAUUAGAAAAGUUUCUCACAUUAACAACCAACAGGAGGGUUCCCUACAAAUUUCAUUUUAUGGAAUAUUUUCAAUGCAACACUGAGAUUCACAACUAUUCGAGUAAACAACUGUUUGGAAUACUUCCCUCCAAAUUUCAUUUGAAUAUGACAAAAAUGGCAUGUGGGCACCACCCUUCUAGAAGGUGGGCCCGCCCAUUUUGAAGAUGAAAGCAUUACUUCCGUCUUUGAUUGGAAGAAAAGAAAAAAAUAGAGAAAGAACGAAAAAUGGGUGUCGGGCCGAAAAGGGCAAAGAAAAAAAUUAAUAAAAUAAUAAAAAUAAUAUAUAAUUGAUGAAUAGUACCAAAACUUUCUCUAUAAAUAAAAACGAAGAGAAUGAGCAAAUGCAUUCCAUCGAGAGAAAAACAUUUCCUUCCUUUAGAAAGUUGUGAGUAUUAAGAGUUUAAUAAACUCUUGAGUGAUUAGUGUUUUGAGAGUUUGGGUGUAUUGGGAUUUUGAGUAGUGAGCUAAAAUACCACAAUAUUUGUAACUCUUUUUGACUAGUAAAAUAUUUUCCUUCUAUCUUCGCCAAUGGACGUAGGCUAAAAACCAAACCACAUAAUUUCCUGGUAUCCUCUUUGUGCUUAUUCUUUAUUUUUUUUCAAUUUUAUUUUAGCUGCGUGUCUGCUUCAACCAUCAAUUUCCUAACAGAAUAUACAUUUUUUUUUUGGAAAUAUUUCUUGCGAAGUCUCAUAGCUCCAGUACUGCAAGCUUCUUUGGCAUCCAAAUUUCUAGUCAUGUCAUUCAAUAUCUGAAAAAGGUACAAAAGAAACAAAAGGAAAGAGAAGAGAGAAUUAAUUAAUUGCGGGAAAAGAAAUUCCUAGAAAUCAAUUUAAAAAUAUGCUAGGGUUACGGGAUCCACUCUCAGUAUUCAAACUAUAGUUUUAAUACUCUUUUUUUAAUAUAUUUUUCCUUACUUUUACUGGUUAAUUAUUAUGUCAUUUAAUUCUUAACUAACUAUAUCUAUGGAUAAAUAUGGAAUCAAAAACCUAAUGUGCCACAACUAUAUUAAUGUGUCGACUUAAAUACUAGCUAUGCAACCCAAGAGGGGGUGAAUUGAGUUUAUAAAAAUUAUGUAAUACUUAAACAAAUCUUAAACAAAUUCAAAACAAUAAUAAAUAAAUCAAUCAAAAUGUAAAGAGAUAAGGGAAGUGAGAUUCAAACACAAAAAUUUUUAUAUGGUUCGGCCAACCCUGCCUACGCCCGUGCCUCUAAGUUCACCGGGCUUGAGGAUUCUACUGUCCAAGCCUCCAAGGCUUUAAGAACUUUUAUAAUUGACUUCACAGGUGUCAAUCAACCUUUACAACAAUAGAUUAUCUUAAAUCUCUUAACCCAAGUGUUUUCUACAUUCACAUUUUCUCAAAUACAAGAUUUUUCCCGCACACAAUCGAUGUGUUUACAAAUAUAUGCCCAAGGUGUGAUUUAAAGAAUAAAUGAAUAAAUUAAAGCUCAAGUAAUAUUGUAUUCUCAAUAAUAUGCUCUCUGGUAUUCGUUGGAUUCUCUUUGAUUUGGAUCUAAUGCAACCUUUUUAUAUUUGGAGCUGAAAACUAGUCGUUAUCUACUUUCUGCACAAAGUCGGAUCGCCGUUAAGCAUUAUCGAAUUGCCGUUUUGACUUGAGCGAGUGAUUGUUGUGCCAAAAUUCAAAUUGUCGGAUCAUCAUUUUCUAGAUGUCGAAUCGCUGUUAGUUUCUAGUAACUAAACUUCAAUUUUGUUCAAUGUCAGUUAGUCGUUUCCUCGUAAACGGUUAGCCGUUUGCUACAGUGAUUGCUACAGUGAAACAAUUUACUAAAAUUAUAUUUUUUCCCUAAAACUUUUUAAAUUAUACUAUAGCCCAAAACUUUAUAAAACUUUGCACAAAAGUCCAUUUCUAGAAUUUUAAACAAUAUUUGUUGAUUUCAAACUUUUCAAAACUUUUUUAAUUAGACCAUAAACUUGAAAAAUAACCAAUAUUAUAAAAUUAUUUGUUGGCUCCAUGGGAAAUCUACGGUAUCUCAAUUUUUUUGAAACUCGAAUCUGCGGAAUUAUACCUCAACAACUUGGAAAUCUCUCCAAUCUGCAGUUUCUUGACCUUAGUUCAAAUUAUUUAUUAUACGUUGAUAAUUUUUUGUGGCUCUCUGGUAUUUCUCUCCUGGAACACCUCGAUUUGCGUUAUGUGAAUCUUAGCAAAGCCUUUGAUUGGCUGAUGGUAGAAAACAAACUCCUUUCUUUGGUAGAAUUAAGAUUGUCAAAUUGCCAACUCCAACACUUCUCUCCAUUAGCUACCGCAAAUUUUUCGUUGCUCACAGUGUUUGACCUUUCCCACAACCAAUUUGAUAACUCGUUCAUUCCUAGUUGGGUUUUUGCUUUAAGUCAUUUGCCCUUUCUUGACCUAGGUUUUAAUAAUUUUCAAGGUCCAAUUCCUGGGGGACUUCAAAACCUGACUUCCCCUAAACAUUUGGGUUUAGAUUCCAACCACUUCAACUCUUCAAUUCCCAACUAGUUGUAUAAAUUCAUCCAUCUUGAGUACCUUAGUCUUCGCAACAAUAAAUUGCAAGGUACAAUUGACUUAGAGGCUCUUGGAAACUUGACUUCCAUCAAUCAGCUCGAUCUCUCAUUAAAUACUGGUCUUGCAGGGAGAAUUCCAAGAUCCAUGGCAAGUCUUUGUAAUUUAAAGUCAAUCAAUCUUCAGGGUGUCAAUUGUGAGCCAAUAAAUUUUUGAGAUUUUAGAUAUUUUCUCGGGAUGUGUUUCUAAUGGACUAGAGAGUUUAGAUAUGCAGAGUAGUUCAAUAUAUGGUCAUUUGACUGAUUAGCUUGGCCAAUUUAGAAAUCUCGUCACUCUUAAUCUUGUUAAUAAUUCAAUUGUUGGUUCUAUUCCAUGGUCAUUUGGUUAACUCUCAACCUUGAGAGAACUACAUAUAUAUGAUAAUAAGUUAAACGGAACACUUUUUGAACUUCACUUUGCCAAUCUGAUAGAAAUGUCAUGGUUUAGAGUAGGUGGAAACCAAUUGACGUGGGAAGUGAAGCAUGAUUGGAUUCUUCAUUUCCAACUUGUUGCAUUAGGAUUGCAUAGUUGUUAUAUAGGGUCUCGAUUUCCUCUAUGGCUUAAUUCACAAAAGCAUUUACAGUUUCUAGAUUUAGUCAACUCAAGAAUUUCAUAUAUUUUUCCCAUUAGAUUUUUGAAAUCCGCUUCCCAAUUAAAGAUUUUAGAUCUCGAAAAAAAGCAAAUUCACGGGGAGAUGCCAAAUCUAACCGAGUUUACUCAACUUUUGUUUCGUUCCCUGGAUUCGAAUAAUAUGUCGGGUCCUUUACCCCUCAUAUCAUCCAAUCUCGUUUACCUUGGCCUUUCAGAUAACUCAUUCCCCGGAACAAUUUCUCAUUUCUUAUGUAACAAAAUCAACGAGACAAAGAGAUUAGAAGCUCUUAAGCUAAAUGAUAAUUAUUUACAAGGAGAGUUACCUGAUUGUUGGAUGAGUUAUCAAAAUUUGAAGAUACUUAAACUAAGUAACAACAAAUUCACUGGUAAUCUUCCAAACUCAUUUGGUAGUUUAGCUUCUCUUGCUUGGUUGGAGCUUGGUAAAAACAGACUAUUUGGGACAAUACCUGCUUCUCUUAAAAAUUGUACAGCAUUAAAGUCACUUGAUGUUGGUGAAAACGGGUUUGUUGGCAGUACUCCAGCAUGGUUUAGAGAAAGAUUUUCAAGAAUGGUUGUUCUCAACCUUCGUUCCAAUAAGUUUCAUGGCCCUUUACCCACAAGAUUAUGUGAUCUAGCUAUUCUUCAAAUCUUAGACAUCGCGGACAAUAAUCUCUUUGGCGCCAUACCAAAUUACAUUAAUAAUCUCACUGGCAUGGUGACAACGAACUCUUUUUCACGCAGUGCUCAGCAACAUCUACCUGUUCCUCUAGACGUGGAUGUGAUUCUUACGGAGAAGGCAUCAGUUGUGAGCAGAGGGGAUGUGGUUGAAUAUAAUGAGAUUCUUAAUUUGGUAACGGUGACAACUGUUUCCAGGAAUGAUUUACCGAAAAAUGUUCCUUUGGAAGUGAGAAAUCUUAAAGCAACGCAAUCAUUAAAUUUUUCGCACAACACUUUCACAUGAAGAAUUCCUGAAAGUAUUGGUGUUAUGAGAUCAUUGGAGUCUGUUGAUUUUUCUGUAAACCAAAUUUCGGGUAAAAUUCCACGGAGCAUGUCAAAUUUGAUGUCCUUGAAUUAUUUGAACUUGUCCAACAACAAGUUGACUGGGAAAAUUCCUUCAAGCACUCAACUCUAGAGCUUCGAUGCAUCUAGUUUCGCUGGCAAUGAUUGUUGAAGUCAAACAAAUUGUUGGUUGCAACCAACAAUUGUAAGGUAGCAAAAUCAAAUUGAAUUUGAUUUUGCAGCCAAAAAGAAAGAAUGGACAAAGGGGAUGAAGCAAAAAUGUUUGAAUGGAGAAAGGGGAUGAAGCAAAAAUGUUUGAAUGGAGAAAGGGGAUGAAGCCAAAAUGUUUGAAAAAUAAUAAUAAUUAAAUAUUAUAUUUUCAAUUAUUUUAUUCUUUGCAUAGUAACUUAUUUCUCUUAUAAAUAGCUAGGGAUUUCAUUCAUCCCAAAAAUUUGUUAUGCUUAUAAGUUUCUAAGCUUUUGAGAGUUCUGAGAGUGUGAACAAUUGGAGAGUGUGUGUGAGAGUACUGGGUGUAUUUGGGUUCUGGGAAAGUGAGAUUUCUUUAUUCAAAUAUUUGUACUCUAUUAAUUGUUAAUAAUACAAUUAAUUUUCUCUUGCUCCCGCGGACGUAGGCAUAUUGCCGAACCACGUAAAUUUUGUGUCUUUUAUUUUUCUAUAAUUAUUUGGUGCGCUUGAUUCCGCAUUCCGCACAUAACAAGUGGUAUCAGAGCCGACAAUUUGUACUUGGAGGGAUAUGUUACUGUUCACGUUUACGAUACUAUUUCUAUAUACGGUAUUGUUUCACAUAUGGUAUUGUUCACGAAUACGAUGGAGACGACCAUUUGUACUUGGGAGACAUUAUAUUGUAAGUAGUGUGUAUUUUUAUAUGUCUAGGAAAGUUCUGUCAAUAAGGCGAUAAGAGUAUAAGGAUUCUGGUUUUUAACUGGGACCAAGUUCCCGUCAAGUCUCCUGAAAAAUUUCCUGGUGCAUUUAUUCACGCGAAAUUAACAUCAUAGAGGCUGUUUUUCAAGUGGAAAUAGUUCGUUGAGAAAAUGUAGAAGGUGAAACUUCCAAAAUUUGGGAGAGAUCUACCGAGACUAUUUCAGAAGACACUUUAGGUGGGAUGCGAGAUUUGUCAAAUCGUUAUUCAACACCUAUUAUAUAAGGCCAGAAGAUUAAUGUUGAAAAGUUUGAUAGGAAAAUCAACUUCGACAUGUGGAGGCGCGAAGUUAUGGAUGCCCUUAUUUAAAUCGAUCUCGAUGUGGUUCUGAAAAAUAAAAGACACUUGUAUGAUGAAGAAAUUUGGGAUCGUGUGAACGAGAAAGCUUGUGGUCAGAUCAGAUCUUGUUUGAUCAAGGAGGUGAAAUACUUGGUGAAAGAUGAUGAGUGUGCGAUGACUUUAUAAUGUACAUUGGAGGAGAAGUACUUGCUGAAAAGUCCUGAAAAUCGUCUUCAUGCAAUGAGGUAAGUAUAUGGCUUUCGAAUGAAGUCUGGGGUGUUAAUGCAUUAUAAUGUCUCAAGAUUUGAAAAGUUACUUGCUGAUUUGAAGAAUCUUGAUGAAAAUAUUAAGGAUGAAGUCAAGGCUAUAAUUCUGUUACACUCACUACUAGAGGAAUAUAGCCAUUUUGUGACUACCUUGAUAUAUGGGAAGAGUGUGAUUGUCUUCAAAGAUGUUUGCACAUCAUUGACUAACUUGGAGAUUCGAAAUAAUGAUAAAAAUUCUGAACGAGCAUCGUUUGAAGCUUUGGUGAGCAAAGAUUAGGCGAUGGAGAAAAAGAAGAAGCGUGGUGGAAAGAAUUCUCGAUCCAAAUCGAGAAGCAGAAAUAUAACUCGAGACGAGUGUGCCUCUUUCAUGAAAAGAGCCAUUAGAGAAAAGAUUGUCCAAGAGCUCAAAAGAGAGAUGUGAAGAAACCAGUAGUAGCAAACAUGGCACAGAAAGAUGAAGACUCUGAUUAUUCACUAAGUAUUACUUCUGCAGCAUACGUGUCUAGUUCGAGCAAGUGGAUACUUGAUACUAGAGCAACCUAUCAUUUGUGUCCUAUUAAAGAAUGGUUUACGGAUUUUCGUAAUCUGGAAUCUGGUGCAGUUGUGAUGGGGAAUAAUCAAUCUUGUCGUACAAUGGGGAUAGGAACAAUUCAGCUCAAAAUGUUUGAUGGAAUGAUAAGAGAACUCAAAGAGGUUAGAUUUGUUCCAGCUUUAAAGAAAAAUCUAAUUUCUAUGGGUGCUUUGGAAGCUAAAGGCUACAAGGUUACCAUUGAAGAUGACAUAAUGAAGUUUACACAUGGGGCUAUGGUGAUUCUACAAGGGGUUCGGCGUCACAAUUUGUACUAUUUGAAGGGAGGUACAACUGAUGAAGCAAAUGUUACUGAGGCGCACAGUGACACCACCAAGCUACGACAUGUACGACUGGGACAUACUGGAGAGAAGUAUUUGCAAACUCUGAUGAGGCAUUGACUCUUAAAAGGUACCAAAACCUAUAAAUUAAAUUUCUGUGAGCAUUGUGUAGUAGGCAAGAAAACAAGGGUCAAGUUUGGUAUGGCUAAUCACGAUACUCGUGAGAUCCUUGAAUAUGUUCACAGUGAUGUAUGGGGACCAACCAAGACUACAUCAAUUGGUGGAAUCCAUUAUUUUGUUACAUUUGUUGAUGAUUUCUCUAGACGUGUGUGAGUGUACACCAUGCGAGCAAAUGAUGAUGUUCUAGAGAUUUUUGUGAAAUGGAAGAAAUUGGUGGAGACUCAAACUGGUAGAAAGAUCAAAGUAUUACGAUAUGAUAAUGGGGGUGAAUAUACUUCUGAUCCAUUCUUGCAAAUAUGCCAGAACGAGGGUAUUAAAAGACAUUUCACGGUGAGACAUACUCCGCAACAAAACGGUGUGGCUGAGCAUAUGAAUCGUACUUUGCUAGAGAAAGUAUAGUGUAUGUUAUCUAAUGCUGGUUUAAAUAACAAGUUUUGGGCUGAUGCUGUGAGCUACGCAAGUCACUUGGUAAACCGGUUGCCUUCUACUGCAAUUGGAGAUAAAACUCCUAUGGAAAUGUGGUCUAGAAAGCAUGCACAAGAUUAUGAUGCCCUUCGUAUAUUCGAGUGUCCAGGUUAUUAUCAUGUCAAAGAUGGUAAACUAGAUGCUCGUGCUAGAAAAGCUAUCUUUGUGGAAUUCAAAGGUAGUGUAAAAUGACUUAAGCUUUGGGAUCUCGAAGAUAAAAAGUUUGUGUGUAGCAGAGAUAUCAUGUUUGAUGACGCUUCAAUGAUGAAAGCUUCAAGUUCUCAACAGGUGGAGAACAAGACCACAGAGGUAUUACAGCGGGUGGAGUUUGAUGAAACUCCAUAUGUACCAGUUAGUUCUACAUCAGAAAAUGAUUCAACUAUGGAGGUGACACUUAGAGUCUGAUGUCCCACAAAAUGAAGAAACAAUUGAUGAUAUGGAUAAUGAUGAUUCUAUAGCAACAAGGAGGCCAAGAAGAGAGAUAAAGAAAUCCGGAUGGCUUACUAAAGACAUGGUGGUAGCCUAUGCACUUCCAGUUAUUGAUGAUGACAUCCCCAACACUUUCAGUAAAGCAUUACGCAGCAGUGAAAGUGAUAAAUGGAAGUUAGCCAUCGAAGAAGAGAUGAAAUCUCUCCAUCAAAACCAGACUUGGGAACUUGUGGAGUUACCAAAGGGGAAAAGGGCUAUUGGCAAUAAAUGAGUCUACACCAAAAAGCAAGGAUCUCCAAAUCAAUCAACUUCUCGAUACAAGGCAAGGCUCGUUGCAAAAGGUUUUGCUAAGAAGGAAGCUAUUGGCUACAAUGAAGUUUUCUCUCCAGUUGUAAAACAUAAUUCCAUUCGUAUCCUACUUGCCUUAGUUGCAGAAUAUGAGUUAGAGUUGGCUCAAUUAGAUGUUAAGAUGGCAUUCUUACAUGGAGAUUUGGAGGAGGAAAUCUAUAUAACUCAGUCUUGUGGUUUUAAAGUUGAUGUAAUAGAGAAUCGUGUGUGCAGAUUGAUUAAAUCUUUAUACAAAUUGAAACUAAUUCUUUGAAUGCAUUGAGUUUGGAGAAUUAUGAACUACGAUUGGCUUGAUCCCAUAUUUUGGGUACGUAGGUAGUCGAAGUGACACAACCAUUUUGGAUCCUUAUUGAAGGAUCACCGUAGGGAUGAUGAUCCGUCGAUAGUCAGCUCAGAUUUGGCAAAUUUUCGCCGAGGUGGAGAUUUUUUGAAGUCAAACAAAUUGUUAGUUACAACCAACAAUUGUAAGGAAGCAAAAUCAAAUUGAAUUUGAUUUGCAGCCGAAAAGAAAGAAUGGACAAAGGGGAUGAAGCCAAAAUGUUUGAAUUAUAUUUUCAAUUAUUUUAUUCUUUGCAUAGUAACUUAUUUCUCCUAUAAAUAGCUAAGGAUUUCAUUCAUUUCAUUCAUCUCAAAAAUUUGUUAUGCUUAUAAGUUUCUAAACUUUUGAGAGUUCUGAGAGUGAGCAAUUGGAGAGUAUAUGUGAGAGUACUGGGUGUAUUUGGGUUCUAGGAAAGUGAGAUUUCUUUAUUCAAAUAUUUGUACUCUUUUAAUUGUUAAUAAUAUAAUUAUUUUUCUCUUGCUCCCGUGGACGUAGGCAUAUUGCCAAACCACGUAAAUUUUGUGUCCUUUAUUUUUCUAUAAUUAUUUGGUGCGCUUGAUUCCGUAUUCCGCGCACAACAAUGAUCUCUGUGGAGCUCCUCUUCCAAAAAAUUGUACUGAAAAUGUUUCAAAUUCAGAAGAUGAAAAUGGAGAUGAAGACGAAGAUGAAUUGGACCAUUGGUUUUAUGUAAGCAUUGCACUUGGCUUUGUGGCGGGAAUUUGGUGUUUUAUAGGCCCUUUGAUUUUCAAUAGAAGAUGGAGGUACAAAUAUUGUCAUUUCCUAAAUCGUCUUGAGGAGAGAGUUGUUGAUGUUGUAAGAAAACGUGGCUAGAUUUUCUCUGUUUUUGAGUUGUUCUGCUUUUUCAUGUACUGUGCUCACUGAAAGGAAUAGAAUAUUACUUAAAAUAAACGAAUGGCCUUUUAUUUGUUUUGUUCCUGAAAGCAAAAAUUAAUGCGAAAUAAUUUUUAAAUAAGGCGAAUGAUAUUCAUAUUAAAAAUCAUACGAGACUUUCCAACUCAACAAAAUUAGUACUGAUAAAUCAAAAUUGAAAAAGUAUAUUUUAUGGACACUUCACCAUCUAUAGGAUCAACAAUUUUUAUAUUAAAAAAGAUUAUAAAUCACAACAUUGGUAUCAAAAUGUUAAGAUCUUGAAAAAGUAAAUGGAAAAGAUUCUUAGAUUAACAAGCAACACUGCAACAGGGGAGGGGGCUCAACUAUUCUCUAUUAUGCAAUUUUGACCAGUAGUACUUCUCUCUUCUUUUACAUUUUAGGGUUAUUAUCAUUUUACUACUUCAGGAAUUGCCAAAUAUCAAAUGACUACAACAAUCGUUGUCUCCUAUUAUUUUACUACUAUAUCUUUAUAAAAAUAUCAUUUUACUACUUUUCCGUUAUAACUGUUAGUUGACCAGUUAGUUGACUAUCAAAAUACCAAUUUCACCCUUCAUGAUUAAAAAAAAAUAUUUGAAGCUUAUUUACAAAAUAAAUUUGUAAUAUAUUUAUUAAAAUAGAUAUAAAAUACCAACAUAUUUUUUUUGCUAGAAUUAUUAUAUAUGAAUUACAAAAUUUAUCUUAUUAUUAUUUUUAAUCAUGAAGGGUAAAAUUAGUAUUUUGUUAGUCAACUACCGGUCAACUAACAGUUAUAACGGAAAAGUAGUAAAAUGAUAUUUUUAUAAAGAUAUAGUAGUAAAAUGAUAGGAGACAAUAACUGUUGUAGUCAUUUGAUAUUUGGCAAUUUCUGAAGUAGUAAAAUGAUAAUAACCCUACAUUUUAUAUAUGGAAUAUUUUCAAUGCAACAUUGAGAUUCACAACUAUCCAUGUAAAUACUAAUUACAGCAAAACUCUCCUCCUUUAAAUUUGAAAAAAGAAAACUUAGGUGGCGUUUGUUUUUUUGUCUAAAAUCUGAAUAGACCUGAAUUAGUCUGAAUUCUGAAUAGAUCUGAAUGUCUGAAUCUAAAUAACAUGUUUUUUUUUUUCGUCUGAAUCUCGAAAAAUAAGUAUUAAGUUGUUUGUUUUUUUCAACUGAAAAAGCUGAAAAUAUGUACUUUUACUUUUGUAUCCUUAUUAAAUUUGAAAGUCAAAUAAAUAAUAUAUUAAAUACCACAAUAUUUUAACAUUUAUAAGUAAAACUAUAUUCAAGUGAAUACAUAAUUAUUUUGGAAUUUAUAUAUAUAAAAUACCAUAAAUUUUAAAUUUUAUCGUAUAUAAUAUAAGAAAGAAAAAAUAAUGAUAUUUUUAUAUGGGAAAAAUGUCUAUGGGUGAGUUUUGGGAUAGACAUGAAAAAUAAAUUAUAAAACAUGGAUAUUUUUGACAUUAGUAAGUAAUUGACUUAAUUCAAAUUUCUCCAUUAAGUAAAAAGCUAAAAAAAUUGGCUUAUUUUAUUAAGUCAAAAUUAUCUAAAAAGUCUCAUUAAGUUAUAAAAACAAACACCUCUAAUUAACUUAAUUAAUUAAGUUAAGUCACUUUAAGUCAUUAAGUUAAAAAACAAACGCCACCUUAGUCUUGGUUUAUUUCAUUAAAUAGAGUUAGUUAACGAUGUGUCACGAGAUAUAUAGAUAUUAGUCCAUAUAAUAUAAUAAUCGAUUGAGUUAAAGUCGUCAAAUCUGAAUAUUGUUAUCUUCUGACUUAAAAAGUCGUUUGCGUGGAAAGGACGUAAAUCCUAAUCCAAUUAACAGUAGGAUGAUGUUGAGUUGGAGUAUGCGAACGAACUAUAAGGUCACAAUUUAAGAUAAUUAUUUUGAAAGAGAGAAAUGGCCCUAUAAAUAGCAAUGUUGUUGAUAACACAAAUUCAAAUAAACAUUUACUCUUUAUUAAACCAAACAUGAGUGGUGUCCUUGUUUUUGCCUCACUUCUUGAAUUACUUGUCGUUAGCAUGAGUGGACAAAUUGAUGCGUGAUUUUAACGUAAAUAUAUACAAGGAUCACCGAUGAUUGACUUAAGUGAUUGUAAAUGGCAUCUGUGUGACUGUGUCCUUUACAUGUCCUCUUCAAUUGACUUAAAGUCGCUUCGCUAAGUAGGAGGUUACUUUGUGUCAUGUGCAAAUUGGAUUAUGCAGAAAACUGAGUUUCUAGUUACUUUUUCCAAUAAAAAGCCCCAAACGGAUGCUGAAUUGCUGAAAGAUAAGUUGAGAUUGUUCAUUAGAUCAAGGACAUUUUCCUUGUUAACAAAAUUAAUAAACGAACAUAUAAAAAUGAAGUAAUUAUCCAUAAGUACUGCUACAACAAAUAACUCUAAUGCAUAGACUAUAGAUUCCAUUUUGUCGGUGGCGGACUAAGGUUAAAAAUAAAGAAAUUCAUAAGGGUAUUAAUUGAAAUUUAAUCUAUUUCUUAAAAUAUUACAUCAUCAUUAUCCAUUAUUUACAAAAUUUUGAUUAUUGCCUCCAUAAGUUCGUAGUUCUUUUUUGGGCAUGUUUCAACCAAAAUACCGGUUUUGAAUUUAGAAUGCGAAACUCUCCGCAAAAUUUUUACUUUGAGACGUCAUAACACAGUUUUCUCAAAGUAAUUGACAUUUAAUUACGAACAAAAUAUCACCAUCGAUAUCGAUCCCAAUUAAAUUCUUCAAGUUCCUUCCAGUCUUGGUUAUUUUUAUUAAAUGGAGUUAGUAAGAUAGUCAUGAGAUAUUUCAUUAUCUACAACGAUCAUCGACUUGUGACAUUACCAAAUUAAAUAGUAUCUAUAUAUCGUCCUAUAUAAUGAAUAGACUUGAAGUCGUUUCCUCAUAAAGGGGGUUAGAACUGGAUUAUGCGGAAGAUUUAAUUAUAUGGCCUAUCGCUACUUUUUCCAAAUUAGAUUCCUGGCCCACUUUACUGAUUAUAUCAAAUGGAUGCUGAGUUUCUGAAACAUAAUCCAAGAGAGUAUCGGUCUUGUUAAUUGCAAUUCAUUAUAAAUAGCAAAGGUGUUGAUAACAUUAUCCUCAUCCACAUUUCCUUGACUAGCUAGCAAUGAAACCAAACAUGAGUGGUGUCCUUGCUUUUGCCUUAUUUCUGUUUGAAAUACUUGCCAUAGCAACCAUUAGCAUUAGCUUCUGCAGCGGAAGUUCUUAUCAUGGGGGUUGCCUUGAAAGUAAGAGAGGAGCACUUUUAAGGUUCAAGCGAGAUCUUAAAGACCCUUCCAAGACGAAAACAUUUUGGGCCAACUUAAUCCUCCAAUUGAUUAGAGAGACAACCAAUCUCAACAUGAUUAAAAUCAACCAAGAACUUUAAAAGAUUACAUGAAUCCAACAAGAACUGGAGCACCAUCGUGUAUAGUAUUUCCUCUAAAAGCAUCUCAAUUCAACUUCAAACCAGGUAUUAUCUAACUUUUACCGACAUUUUAUGAUUUAAAAUCUGAGAAUCCGUACGUGCAUCUAAGAGAUUUUGAGGAAGUUUGUAAUACAUACAUGGACCAAAAUUGUAGCAUGAACAUAAUUAGAUUAUAAUUUUUUCCUUUUUCAUUAAAAGAUAAAGCUAAAACUUGACUAUAAAACCUUAGAUCAUGUUAAAUUAGAAAAAAUAUCAUUACAUGGUUACUUCUGGAAUUGUUUUGGGUCAUGUUGUAUCUAUUAAAGAAUUGAAGUUGACAAAGCAAAAGUUAAAGUCAUAUCUAAAUUGCCAUAACAAAAAAUAGUUAUAGAUGUGCGAUCUUUUUCAGAACAUACAUGAUUUUUUAGAAGGUUUAUAGAAAACUUUAGUGUCAAAUUGAUAACUCUAGGAAAUGAGAGUUAUUACAUCAAUUCUAGACUUGAAUCAAGACUACUUGAGAACAAAUAAGGUGUUUUUAUUAUAUUUUGGUUACCUUUUGCAUAAACUUUCAUUUUAGUUGAGUCUUAAUAAGUUUUGCUUGAAUCAAAGUAAUUUGUACUAAAAACAGGUGUAUAAUUGUAGGUUUUAAAGUCAUGAGGGGAUGUUGAGGCAUUAGAAGAGCGAGAGGAGGAAAGAAGAUGGCCACAAAAGAAGUAAAGCACAAUCGGAAAUAAGGCAGUGUUGUAGCUGAUGUUAGAGCAACCAGUGCUGUAGCAAUCUGGGAGCAAUGCGAGAGAAAACUUAGGCACGAGUUAGCCAUAAAAACGCGAUCUGCAUGUUUCCUAAUUUAAACGCAUGCACGCUCAUGGGCUUUGGUUUACCCUAAUUUGCAAUAUAAAAAAGGAGGCGUGCACCAUAUAAAAGGCGGCGAAGGGAUAAUCAUCAGAAUAAUUACAAAGGAAAGAAGAAGAAGAUCAGAUUGAGAGAGUGUUGUUUCAGUAACAUUGAAGACUCGUGCAGAAUUAUUUGUCUUUCAUCGUGCUCAACUUAUAUUUCUCGUCUUCAUUUAAUUGUUUUGAUGUAUUCAUUGAUCAAUAUAUUUAUGUUUACUUUUCUCAUUCAGAGUAUGAACUAAAUUUACUUGUAGUUGAGUGACAAAGAAUCCAAUGGGUUCUUGACUGUUCUUAUAUGUUGUUAUGGCAUUGUUGUAGCAUUAUACUCUAGUAGUUUUUAUGAAUAUAACUGUUAUUUCGGUUGACCACCCAUUUAAUAGUUUCAGUUAAGAUAGAGCAGCAAAAGAGCAUGUCUUAGCGGAUGUUAUUAGAGUAUUACUUGAUCUUAAGUCGAGUUUCCUGGAUUAAGUUAUCUUAAAUCCCAUAAGGGCAAUACUUGAAGUUAAGAUUUGUGACACACUAGACAUAGAUGUUCACCUUGUAGGGUGGAAAGACUAAAGACCAUAAUGACAUACUAUAAGUAGAUUAGCAACUGGUCAUUGUUAAUAGAUUUAAGGGUAUGAGACUUCCAAUAUGCGGCAGCUGAGGAUGCAGAUAAACUCUGUCCAGUGCUGCAGCACUGGUCGUAACAACUGGUACUAAUUUGAUGAAAAAACAGUCAACCCCAAAGGAAAAUUUGAUCAUUCAACUACAUUAAUUUCAAUUGAAUCUUGGACACACUUAACCUAGUUAUUUCAUUACGAUAUUGUUUUAUUUAAUUCUUAUCUCAAUCAUUGAUUACAAUAGACAUUACUUGACAAUUGUUUGCUUCGGGUUUAAGUUGAGUUGCGCUAUUGUGAGUGCUGUAGCAUUUCGAGUAACAUUAAUCCAUGUGGAGACGAUCAUGAAUACUUAUCACUUUAUUACUUGUUGUGCAUACUUGCACAUUGGCAUUGAUAGUAAUUGCUUAUAAAAUUUACCAACACAUAUCUAAACCACUUUGUAACCUCUUAUUAAAAGAUGCACCAUUUGAAUGAACUGAUGAUUGCCAAAAAUCUUUUGAGAAAAUAAUUUGUCUUUUAACAUCAGCACCCAUUAUGCAAUCUUCUGAUUGGUCUCUUCCUUUUGAAUUCAUGUGUGAUGCAAGUGAUUUUGUUGUUGGUGUUGUUUUUGGACAAAGAAUGGAUGGUAAGUCGUUUGUGAUUUAUUAUGUGAGUAAGACCUUGGAUGGUACCCGAAUGAAUUAUUUGACAACUAAAAAAGAAUUACUUGCAGUGGUGUUUGUAUUAAACAAAUUUCGUUCAUAUUUGCUUGGUUCUAAAACUAUUGUUUUUACUGACCAUGCUGCUGUGAGAUAUUUGAUGACUAAACAGGAUGUCACAACCAAGACUAAUUCGAUCGAUUUUGUUACUUCAAGAAUUUGACCUUACCAUCAUUGAUAAAAAAGGUGCCGAAAAUGUCGUUGCUAAUCAUUUAUCAAAACUCACAUUCGAAUUCUGCACUGACGUAACACCCAUCAAUGACUCCUUCCUAGAAGAAUUUUUAUUUUCUGUUACUUUAAUGCUAUGAUAUGCUAACAUUAUUAAUUUCUUUGUUACAGGUAAAAUGCCUUUGCAAUAGAAUACUCAAGAGAAGAAGAAAUUUUUAGUUGAAGUAAAGAAAUUUUAUUAGGAUGAUAUUUCACACAGGUGGUAUUUCACACAUGUAGUAUUUUAUGUAUUUUAUUUAGUCUUUAAUAUGGCAUACCUAGCAGAUGUUAUAUAAUUGUGUUUGAGAAUUUUAUUUUAAAAUGAUUUUAUCUUUUUAUUGAAAAUUUUUUAUUUUAUUUUUAGUGAAUUAUACAGUAAAUUAUUGACAAUUUAACAAAAAAUAUUUCAAAUAAUUGUUCAAAAAAUAAUAAAAUAAAUUAUUAUUUAAAUAAUAAAAAUGAAAUCGAUUAUUGCGUCAAAUGAUAUGGGUUCUCACGGCUAAACUAAUCAAAGUUAAAAAACGUGUCACUCCCAAACGAAUACCUUCGCAUGGAGGUCGCCCGGUGGGGCAACGCGCAAAUUGGAUUAGUGACUGAGAUUCUCGUUGCUCCUUUCCAAAUUAAAAUUUUCAAACGGAUGCUAAAUUGUUGAAUAAGACACCAAAUUCUAUUUCCACCUGUCGUUGUAAUGAUAUUAUAUCUUUGCUGCAUGUGUCACACUCUCACAUCCGUACAAGAAAUAUAAUAAAUAAAUAAUAUGAGAUAACGGAUGGUAAUAAUAUAGCAUGCCACCUCAGGUAUGUACCUCAGAAAUAUAAUUUAAAAAUAAAAAUAUAUAAAAACCCCUUUAAUUUAGGUUAAUUUAAAAUGUAUAAGGAAUAUUUCAAAUUUGAUAAAAGGUUUAAAAUGUAUAAGAAAUAUUAACGUUUAUGUGCAUAUAAAAUUUUUAAAAUUAACAUGAAGUUUCCCUUAGUAAUUAAUUUUAAACACUUAAAAAUUAACAUGAAAUUUUACUUAAGUAGUAAUUAAAAUUUUAAACACUUUAUUUGAGAAUAAAAUCAUAAAUUAAAAUUAAUGAAUUGCACUUGAUAGUCUCAACUUACCCGAGCGGUUCGGCAUUCAUUUGAAAUUGUUAAUAUACUAUGGACUUCCUUGUUAUCUCCUAGUUAUGGAAGUGACUAAUGUAGCAUUUAUUUUUUUGUUUGAAAUUUAAAUAAACUUGAAUUAGUCACUAUUUUAAAUAGUGUUGAAUCUAAAUCAUAUUUUUUUUGUUUGAAUUACCAAAAAUAAGUAAUAAUUUAUUCUUUCUUUUAACUUAAAAAUAUGAAAAUCAGUAUUUCUACAUUUGUGCUCAUAGAAAUUAAAAAUAUUAAAUAAAUAAUAAAUAUUUCAAAGAAAAUAAAUAAAAUAAUAUGUUAUCAUAACAUAUGGUUAUUGCGAUCUUAAUAAAAGAUUUACUUUUUCUAUCCGUCGGUGUAGGCCAAUGACCGAACCAUAUUAAUUCUCCGUGUUUUUCUUAUUAUAUAACCUUAGCUAAACUAGUUCUCUAGUUGACCGCAUUUCUACAUCUAACAAUUCUUGUGAUGUAUAGGCAGCUGAAACAAUUUUUUGCGUUUUAAAACCUUUCUGACUGUAUAUCAUCAUUUUUUUUUUACGCACACCAGGAUUUGUGACGGCUAUACGGCCAAUCUCCGAUGCAAUAAAUAAAUAAAUAAUAAACGAUGUCUAUUUCCACCGCAUAUGACUAUUACGCCAACGUUAUGGAAGUUCCUCACAAAUUUACGAAAAUGACCCUUUAUCUAAUAUUUUGAUAUUUUGUAAUUCUAUCCUCAUCAACAUUUUUAUAUUAAUUAAAAUUUUUAACGAACAUCAGUUGUAAGGUCCACAUCACAAUGACACAUCAUUAGAUACGUGACUACACGCACUAUGACACAUCAAGAUCACAAUGUUUUUAAUUAAGUUCAGUCUUAUUACAAAUGCACAACUGUCUGUCUACUAGUCCUUUUAUGUUUGGGAGCUAGAGUAAGUGUAGGAUUAGAUUAAUUUUCUAGACAAAAUAUUUAUUCCAUGUUUGACGGGCUCGCUUAAAUUUGAUUAAGAGGAUUAAAUUCAAAUUUACUUUUACAAUCAUAGGAUUAGUUAUCAUAAUUUUCACAUGGGUUUAAGGAGAAUUAGAGAAAGCAAUGUUUGUCCCUUUAUGACAAUCUGUUUGUUUAUUAAUGAGUUGUUAUCUAUUUAAUUAAUUAUUUAUUUUUAUUCAUGAUUUCUUAAAAAUUAAGUAUUUAUUUUUUAUUCUACCCAUGUCAUCUUUUAUCAUUUAUUUAUUUAAUGUUAAAAGUAAUGCAUUAACAAAAUUACUUUUUAGAAACAUGCCAUUUAUCAUUUGAUUAUUAUACAAAUAUUUUUAAAAUAUUUGAUAAAUAAUUAAUUUUAUAUUUAACUAUUUUAGUUAUAUUUUUUUAAUAGGCAAUAAUAUGCAUCAUAUAUAAAAGCAUAUAAUUUUCAUAAUUUUAGUUGUUCUUGUUAAAAACCAUUUAAUUUCACUUAAAUUUAAUUUAACAUAGUGUAAUUAAAUAUUAUACUAAAUAUAAGAUUGUACUACAUAUAAAAAAUACAAUGUAAUCCAAUUCAAUUUAAUCUAAUUGAAUUUUAAGUCUAUUUAAUCAUGCUUACUAAACGUAGCCUAACCUAUAACUAAAUCAUACAGUAUAUGAUUGAUUGAUAAUGAAAGAGUAAUCGCUGGCAGACUUAUGUUGUGGCUUGAGUCCAUUUCUUUGGAAAUAUUACAUCCAAUUUGGCCCUGCCAAUCGACCAGAUAGUUCAAAUUGACAAAAUGUCAAAAUCAAUACCAAUAAUUAAUUUGAGAUCUGGAAAGAAUGUUGAUAUCCCAGUUGAUGUGACCAACAAUUGGAUGGAAUGCAAUUCAGCACAAAAACCACUUCAAAAUGGAAGCAUGUUACAACAAACUACCCAUCAAGACACUGAUUACAUGGGCCAAGCUACAGCAACUGCAGAAGAAAUUCAACCAGAACAUGCUGAAAAAGAAGUUGCAACACCAAUAACCACUUCCUAUACCAAACUAAACAAACAAAGUUUGGUAUCCCCUGAAUCUAACCAGCAGUUUAGACAUCCACCACAUUUCCCACAAAGGUUCCAGAAGCAAAAACAAGACAAGCAGUUCAACAAAUUCCUGGAAGUGCUGAAACAAUUACACAUCAAUAUACCUUUCGUGGAAGCUUUGGAGCAAAUGCCAAAUUAUGUGAAAUUUCUAAAAGACAUCUUGGCAAGAAAGAGAAGACUGGGAGAAUUUGAAACUGUUGCUUUAACACAAGAAAGCAGUCAUAUGCUCCAAAGUAAGAUUCCUGCAAAAGUGAAAGAUCCAGGGAGUUUUACAAUACCCUACUCUAUAGGAACUAGGUAUGCUGGCAGAGCACUUUGUGACCUGGGAGCUAGCAUUAAUUUGAUGCCAUUGUCUGUAUUUAAGCAGUUGGGAGUUGGGGAAUGCAGACCAACAACAGUCACUUUGCAAUUAGCUGAUAGAUCUCAUGCAUACCCUGAAGGAAAAAUAGAUGAUGUACUGGUGAAGGUUGACAAAUUCAUCUUCCCAGUGGAUUUCAUUGUACUGGAUUUUGAAGCUGAUAAAGAGGUACCCAUUAUACUGGGAACCUUUUCUAGCAACUGAAAAGACUCUGAUAGAUGUGCAGAAAGGAGAGCUCACCAUGAGAGUAAAUGAUCAGCACGUCACAUUUAAUGUACUAGAAGCUAUGAGGAACCCUGAUGAAGUAGAAGAUUGCAAUUUCCUGAGUGUAGUGGAUUUUGUUAUAGCAAACAGAAUGAACAGAUGCUGCAGUAAUUCAUUUGACAAAGUCACUACCUUUGAUGAUGUAGAAGAGGAAGAUGUUGCAGCAAUUCAGACAGAUUGGAUGGAAGAAAAGCAAUCUGAUAGGCACAAUAGGUUUAUUGAACAUUUGAAUCUUUUAAACAGGGAAGUAAAAACAAUUUUACCAUCUAUUGAAUCACCUCUUAGUCUUGAAUUAAAACUGUUACGUUCACAUUUGAAGUAUGCUUAUCUUGGUCAAAAUAACACAGUCCCUAUAAUCAUCUCUUCUACUUUGGAUGCAGGUCAAGAACAGAGUCUAGUAGAUUUACUUGGAAAAUACAGAAGAGCAAUUGGAUGGACCAUGGCAAACAUAAAAGGGAUAAGCCCAUCAAUAUGCAUGCAUAAAAUCUUGUUAGAAGAUUGCUCCAACAAUUCGGUGGAGCACCAGAGAAGGUUGAACCCCAUCAUGAAAGAAGUAGUGAAGAAGGAAAUCAUCAAAUGGUUGGAUGCUAGAAUCAUAUACCCAAUAUCAGACAGUUCAUGGGUGAGCCCAGUUCAAUGUGUUCCAAAUAAGGGAGGGAUAACAAUAAUAACUAAUGAGAAAAAUGAACUUAUCCUUACAAGGACAGUGACUGGAUGGAGAGUAUGUAUGGAUUACAGGAAGCUCAACAAAGCCACAAGAAAAUACCACUUCCCACUGCCAUUCAUAGACCAGAUGUUGGACAGACUUGCUGGAAAUAAUAUUAUUGUUUCUUAGAUGGGUAUUCAGGCUACAACCAGAUUGCUAUAGCUCCUCAGGAUCAGGAGAAAACUACAUUUACUUGUUCUUAUGGAACAUUUGCCUUCAGAAGAAUGCCCUUUGGGUUAUGCAAUGCUCCAGCAACUUUUCAGAGAUGCAUGAUGUCUAUAUUUUCUGAUAUGGUAGAGUAGACUUUAGAAGUUUUCAUGGAUGACUUCUCAGUCUUUGGAGAAACAUACAAUGAUGGUUUACACAACCUGAAAGAAGUUCUUGAAAGAUGUGAGAUGACCAACUUAGUACUCAAUUGGGAAAAAUGUCAUUUUAUGGUGCAAGAAGGAAUAGUGUUGGGUCACAAGGUAUUCAAGAAUGACAUUGAGGUAGACAAAGCCAAGAUAGAGGUAAUAGAUAAAUUGCCACCUCCAACUUCAGUAAAGGGUAUCAGGAGUUUUUUGGGACAUGCUGGAUUUUACAGAAUAUUCAUUAAGGAUUUUUCCAAGGUGGCUAAACCAUUAUGCUCAUUGCUGGAACAUAAUAAGCCCUUUUACUUUGACAAAGAGUGUCAUCAAGCAUUUGGAGAAUUAAAGAAAGCUCUUAUCACUGCUCCAGUAAUCAUAUCUCCAGACUGGACUUUACCAUUUGAAUUGAUGUGUGAUGCUAGUGACCAUUCUGUGGGAGCAGUAUUAGGGCAAAGAAGGGACAAGGUUUUUCACUCCAUAUACUAUGCAAGCAAAACUCUUACUCAAACUCAAAUCAAUUACACCACUACAGAUAAAGAAUUGCUAGCUGUAGUAUUUGCUUUUGAUAAAUUCAGAGCCUACUUGGUGAGCACUAGAGUGACUGUAUAUACAGACCAUGCAACCAUCAAAUACUUAAUUUCAAAGAAAGAUGUCAAGCCAAGAUUAAUCAGAUGGAUCUUAUUGCUACAAGAAUUUGAUUUGGAAAUUAAAAAUAGAAAGGGGAUUGAGAAUUAAAUAGCAGACCACAUGUCAAUGUUGGAAGCAUACACAAGCACAUUGACAAGGAAAUACAUUACUGAAACUUUUCCUGAUGAACAACUGUUGGUGGUACAGCAAGCACAGAUGUUGCAGCAGUCAGAAUCUCCAUGGUAUGCAGACUUUGCUAACUAUUUAGUAAAUUGGUUGCUACCACCUAAGCUGAAGUUUCAAGAGAAAAAGAAAUUUCUUCAUGAUGUUAGAAGUUACCAAUGGGAUGACCCACAUUUAUAUAAGCUGUGCACAGAUCAAGUAAUACGAAGAUGUGCUGCAGAAGGAGAGAUUCCCCACAUACUGGAGUCAGGUCAUGCUGCAGCAUAUGGAGGACAUUUUGGUGGUCACAGAACAGCUGUUAAAGUACUGCAAUCAGGUUAUUACUGGCCAACUAUUUUUAAAGAUGCUUAUGAAUUUGUUAAAUGUUGUGACAGGUGUCAAAGGACAGGGAACAUAACUAGAAGACAUGAAAUGCCGUUGACCAACAUCCUGGAAGUGGAAAUUUUUGAUGUCUGGGGAAUAGAUUUCCUAGGACCUUUUCCCCCAUCCUUUGGGAACUUAUAUAUCCUUAUUGCUGUGGAUUAUGUCUCCAAGUGGGUAGAAGCUGCAGCUUUUUCUUCAGAAAAAUAUUUUUUCCAGAUUUGGCACUCCUAGAGCAAUUAUUAGUGACGAGGGUACACAUUUUUGCAACAAAAUCUUUGCUGCAGCAAUGGUAAAAUAUGGAGUCAGACACAAGGUAGUUACAGCAUAUCACCCACAAUUCAAUGGUCAGGCUGAAGUUUCCAACAGAGAAAUUAAAAAGAUCUUAGAAAAAGUGGUGAACCCAACAAGGAAGGAUUGGUCUUUACACUUACAUGACUCUCUAUGAGCCUACAGAACAGCAUACAAAACUCCACUCGACAUGUCCCCUUACCGAAUUGUUUAUGGCAAGGCUUGUCAUUUGCCACUAGAGCUAGAGCAUAAAGCACACUGGGCACUAAAGAAAUUAAAUUGGGAUAUUCAUGCUGUAGCAGAGCAAAGGAAGCUUCAACUUUGUGAGCUUGAUGAAUUACGGCUAUUUUCAUAUGAAAAUGCAAGAAUCUAUAAAGAGAGGACAAAACAAUGGCACGACAAGCAUAUUUAGCACAAGAAAUUCAACCCUGGUCAAUUAGUGUUGCUCCACAAUACAAGACUAAGGUUAUUUCCGGGAAAGCUCAAGUCACGAUGGUCUGGCCCAUUUAAGCUGCUCAAAUUUUAUCCUCAUGGAGCUGUUGAUCUUCUAGAUGAACAGACAGGUCAAGAAUUCAAGGUUAAUGGACACAGGGUUAAGCACUACAUACAUCUAGCGGCAGAUUGUUCAAAUGAGGUGUUACUCCUUAAAGAACCCAGCUAUUGAACAAUGAAAGAAGGUCAGGCUGAAAGACCUUAAAUCAAGCGCUCCAUGUGAGGCAACCCAUUGGGGAGACAGCCACUUCAAACCAACUUUGACAUCCUUUGGUUUUGUAGACAGCUCUCCCUCUUUACCAUCUUAUUUAAUUUUGUUUUUCUAUGUUAGCCAUUUACUUUUAUCCUUUUACAUUAUUGCAUUCUUUAUUUUCGCUUUAAUUUGAUCUAUUUAUUUCUUUUAAUAAUUUUAGAAUUAAUUUUAGUUUGUGAGAAGUAUGUGUGACAAUUGAAUUCCAUAUUGACAAGUGAGAGUGGAUGGUGGUAGAAUGCAGAGGUGAGCCACGUGUCAGAAGCUUUAGUGUGGAGUAUGUAUCCGUUGUUAGAGUAAGCAAAUGGGUGCUGCAGCAACUAAUUUUACUGUUACAGUAAAUUAAAAGCUGGAGCUUUUCACUUACCGUGGAGAUAAAAUCGUGACAAAUGGACGCAUGGAUAUGGAUAGAAAUUGCGGAACCAAAUCUCCGAAAUUAAAGCUUUAAUUUCACUGGCCGAUGAUUUUGGGAUAUGCACAUUUAAUUCAAAAUAUUUUAUUCCCUCAAUUAUCUCUAGUUACCGUAUUUAUCUUUAAUUAAAGUCCACUAUAAAAAGGAGUCACUGUGCUUAGUGCUCUACGACAAUAUUACCCAUCUCCUUCGCAAAUACAACUCUCCUAAUUCUUACCCUCUUCUUCUCAUUUUACUCUCAGGAACAUUAACUUCAAUUUGCUACUGCUACAGCAAUGCCGAGGUAUAAGAAAACAGCCAGCUGCCUCAAAGAUCUGUCACGCUUCCAGAGUUACCACGCCGAAGAAAAAUAUGAAGAAUUCAUAGAGCCGCGUAAGAUUCUGGAAGAAAAAAGGUUACAAUUUCCAGACCAACUCACUGGAAUUGUGCAAACAAUUCAUAAUGCUGCAGCAAAGCGAGGAUGGUUAGAGUUUUGCAACCACCCUCGAGAUCAUGUACUACCCGUAGUCAAAGAAUUUUACGCAAUUUGGUAAGUCUUGAUCAGCACAACAUUUGGGUAAGAAAUACACUUGUUCCAUUAGACUCCCGCGUUAUAAAUGCUUUUUAUAAUUUACCUGCUAAAAUUAAUUGUGAGUAUGCCAAGUUGCGUGAUAAAUUAAGCCCGAAAAAGUGGACCACCAUUUUCACAAACGCUUACAAUCGAAGGGGCAUCAUGGGCUAACGAGGAAGGGCGUGUAGUUAAUAGGAUAGAUUUGAAGCCUAUUGCUAAGGUGUGGGUGAAAUUUCUGAAAUAUAGGCUUCUGCCCACCACUCACACUACUACAGUUUCGCAAGAGAGGUUGGUCUUGUUAUAUGUCAUUGUUCGAGGGCUUCCUAUAGAUGUGGGUAGCAUCAUUGCAAAAGAAAUCCGGGAUUGUACAGUCAAGACUCACCGAACGGCUACCUUGCUAUUUCCUUCACUCAUCACUAGCAUUUGUGUAGUUUCUGGUGUUCGUCUUGACGCUAGAGAUGACCAUGUCAAGAGUGAUGGUGCCUUUACGGCACGUACCAUUGAGAGAGUUGCUGGUGAAGUGCUGGAACAACCAUUGAACCAGCUGUUGUAACAGAGCAAGACGAGCUAUUGGCUUAGAACAGACCAUCCAGGCACUCAGCACCAGUAUCACUCAGUGUGCAGAAGCUCAGCAGAGAGAAAAUGAUCGGUUUUGGAGUUAUCUACAGCACCUGGACAACCAACUACACCAAUUUACUCUGUACAUGAAACGCAUUCACCGGAACUUCCCUGAUUCACUGCUCCAGCAGUACAAUUUUGACACCAACACCACAGAUGCUCCAGCAGAAGCCAGUGAAGAAGCCACUGCCACAGAUGAACCAGCAGAUGAAGCUGCAGCUGAACCACAAGCAAAGGUAGACUCAAAAGAUGCUGAUCCAUCUGACCCACCUGAGGAUGAAGGUGACAAGUCUAAGACUGAUAGCUCACCCACGGAGGCAGAGGACAAUUCAGAGAAAGAACGUGAGGAACCAACCAUCCCAACCCAGUCCAAAACCAGGAAACAACACAUCAUUCAAAAAGAGGAGGAGGAAGACCUUGAAGAGGAACUGUCUAUUCUAGUCUUUAUAGGCAAGGGAAAGGACAAGGGUAAAGCAAAAAUGGCCACACCUCCAGCCUCUGAAGAUGAAAUGGAGCAAGUUGAUGCCGAGCUGGCUGCUGCAGCAGCCAGAGUUACGCCUACAACUGAACAAGCCAAGCAACUACUGGCGAUCAUUGCUGCCAUCACAGCUGAGGGCCAGGCAGCUGAUGCAUCAACUCCAAUUCCUCCACAGCAGACUCCUACCCAGCCUGUUCGCACCAGUCCAUGACAAUCCAGCAAAAGAAAAGGCAGUACGUCCAAAGGCACUACUACAACAACCCCAGCCACAACUCCUCUAACCAGCCCCGUGACGAAAAAGACAAAGACAUUGCCAGUUACUUCCCCACAAGCUUCCCCAAAGGAUAAGCUGCGCAGUGCAGCCAAGAAGUGCUGAUUGCAGUCCCCACCACAGGGGAGUUUUCUUUCUUUACUAGUUCAUUUCGUAAAAAAAAAUAUAUAUAUAUCUACCUUCUGUUUGUCAAUUUGUGUGGUAUUUUCUAAGGUCUUCCAUAUCCUUGUCAGUUUGUGUACCUUUGUUAUGUAUGCUUGUGAGGACACAUCAACUCUCAAGUUUGGGGGGGUUGUGUUUCUGAAUGCAUAUGUUUAUGUUUGUAUGCAUGUGUUUAUGUUUGUAUGGUGUGAAGUCUGUUAUCUAAUAUUUGUGUAUGGAUUUGAAAAUGUAAUGAAGAUAAAUUGAGUGCUAUUCAGUAUUUAUAUGCCCAGUAGAGAUAGUUAUAGAUGAAAGUGAAAUUAUAUCCUGACACUUAGACUUUUGUUGAAUUGUAUGAGACUACUAGAGCAAAGCCAAAAGAAUAGAAAAGAUCCUAAAUUUUGGGGGAAGAAGCAAGUUUGAUUAACUGUAAUAUCUAUGAAACAUAAUAUGUUCCAAUGGCUCAAGUUGCUGAGUAACCAGAUUUGAGUAUGUACCCCAUAUGCAGAAUUGUGUUCAAAGGUAGCGAGAGUUAUGAGCAAUGCUGAAGCAUGUUGUUAUAAAAAAAAAACAAAAAAAACAAAAAGAAAAAGAAAUCCUCUGUCUAAGGCAUUGAGUAGCCAGGUCUGUUCAUGAGCCCCAUGUUCAGCCUUGAGUAAAAGAUACCUCUAGAUAAGAUUACAUUACAGAAUCUUGCUACAACAACUCUAAUUUGGGCAUGGUUUGAGUAAUUGGGUGUCAUCAUUACAAUUGAUUGACAUUCACAUGAAAGAUAAAUGUUACAGUGAGGAGGUUGAAUAUUCCCUAGUUUAUCAAUCUUAAAAUCAUCACAGUCUGAGUAUGUAAAAGUUAUGUUACCCCAUUUAUGAAUGAAGUGUUCUUACUACUGAAAUUCAUGCAAUCCCUUGGUGAUGUUACAGCAUCUCUGGAAUUCAAUCGAAGGAACACACACACACUAUGGACAGAAAGAAGCUUAAGUCUAGAGCUAAUUUACUAUGGUCAUUUUGCAUGAUUGGGAUUGUGAUCUGAAGGUGGAAGAAUCCUUGCAAAUUUGAUAAAAGAGCUAAAGUUGUGUGCAUGAUUGUUUGCGGGAAGUGUUAGUAUAUGUCAUUACUUGAGGGCAAGUAAUGGUUUAAGUUUGGGGGUGUGAUAACUCUAGGAAAUGAGAGUUAUUACAUCAAUUCUAGACUUGAAUCAAGACUACUUGAGAACAAAUAAGGUGUUUUUAUUAUAUUUUGGUUACCUUUUGCAUAAACAUUCAUUUUAGUUGAGUCUUAAUAAGUUUUGCUUGAAUCAAAGUAAUUUGUGCUCAAAACAAGUGCAUAAUUGUAGGUUUUAAAGUCAUGAGGGGAUGUUGAGGCAUUAGAAGAGCGAGAGGAGGAAAGAAGAUGGCCACAAAAGCAGUAAAGCACAAUCGGAAAUAAGGCAGUGUUGUAGCUGAUGUUAGAGCAACCAGUGCUGUAGCAAUCUGGGAGCAAUGCGAGAGAAAACUUAGGCACGAGUCAGCCAUAAAAACGCGAUCUGCAUGUUUCCUAAUUUAAAUGCAUGCACGCUCAUGGGCUUUGGUUUACCCUAAUUUGCAAUAUAAAAAGGAGGCGUGCACCAUAUAGAAGGCGGGAAAUGGAUCAUCAUCAGAAUAAUUACAAAGGAAAGAAGAAGAAGAUCAGAUCGAGAGAGUGUUGUUUCAGCAACAUUGAAGACUCAUGCAGAAUUAUUUGUCUUUCAUCGUGCUCAACUUAUAUUUCUCUUCUUCCUUUAAUUGUUUUGAUGUAUUCAUUGAUCAAUAUAUUUAUGUUUACUUUUCUCAUUCAGAGUAUGAACUAAAUUUACUUGUAGUUGAGUGACAAAGAAUCCAAUGGGUUCUUGACUGUUCUUAUAUGUUGUUAUGGCAUUGUUGUAGCAUUAUACUAUAGUAGUUUUUAUGAAUAUAACUGUUAUUUCGGUUGACCACCCAUUUAAUAGUUUCAGUUAAGAUAGAGCAGCAAAAGAGCAUGUCUUAGCGGAUGUUAUUAGAGUAUUACUUGAUCUUAAGUCGAGUUUCCUGGAUUAAGUUAUCUUAAAUCCCAUAAGGGCAAUACUUGAAGUUAAGAUUUGUGACACACUAGACAUAGAUGUUCACCUUGUAGGGUGGAAAGACUAAAGACCAUAAUGUCAUACUAUAAGUAGAUUAGCAAUUGGUCAUUGUUAAUAGAUUUAAGGGUAUGAGACUUCCAAUAUGCGGCAACUGAGGAUGCAGAUAAACUCUGUCUAGUGCUGCAGCACUGGUCGUAACAACUGGUACUAAUUUGAUGAAAAAAUAGUCAACCCCAAAGGAAAAUUUGAUCAUUCAACUACAUUAAUUUCAAUUGAAUCUUGGACACACUUAACCUAGUUAUUUCAUUACGAUAUUGUUUUAUUUAAUUCUUAUCUCAAUCAUUGAUUACAAUAGACAUUACUUGACAAUUGUUUGCUUCGGGUUUAAGUUGAGUUGCGCUAUUGUGAGUGCUGUAGCAUUUCGAGUAACAUUAAUCCAUGUGGAGACGAUCUUGAAUACUUAUCACUUUAUUACUUGUUGUGUAUACUUGCACAUUGGCAUUGAUAGUAAUUGCUUAUAAAAUUUACCAACACAUAUCUAAACCACUUUGUAACCUCUUAUUAAAAGAUGCACCAUUUGAAUGAACUGAUGAUUGCCAAAAAUCUUUUGAGAAAAUAAUUUGACUUUUAACAUCAGCACCCAUUAUGCAAUCUUCUGAUUGGUCUCUUCCUUUUGAAUUAAUGUGUGAUGCAAGUAAUUUUGUUGUUGGUGUUGUUUUUGGACAAAGAAUGGAUGGUAAGUCGUUUGUGAUUUAUUAUGUGAGUAAGACCUUGGAUGGUACCCGAAUGAAUUAUUUGACAACUAAAAAAGAAUUACUUGCAGUGGUGUUUGUAUUAAACAAAUUUCGUUCAUAUUUGCUUGGUUCUAAAACUAUUGUUUUUACUAACCAUGCUGCUAUGAGAUAUUUGAUGACUAAACAGGAUGUCACAACCAAGACUAAUUCGAUGGAUUUUGUUACUACAAGAAUUUGACCUUACCAUCAAAGAUAAAAAAGGUGCCGAAAAUGUCGUUGCUAAUCAUUUAUCAAAACUCACAUUCGAAUUCUGCACUGACGUAACACCCAUCAAUGACUCCUUCCUAGAAGAAUUUUUAUUUUCUGUUACUUUAAUGCUAUGAUAUGCUAACAUUAUUAAUUUCUUUGUUACAGGUAAAAUGCCUUUGCAAUAGAAUACUCAAGAGAAGAAGAAAUUUUUAGUUGAAGUAAAGAAAUUUUAUUAGGAUGAUAUUUCACACAGGUGGUAUUUCACACAUGUGGUAUUUUAUGUAUUUUAUUUAGUCUUUAAUAUGGCAUACCUAGCAAAUGUUAUAUAAUUGUGUUUGAGAAUUUUAUUUUUAAAUGAUUUUAUCUUUUUAUUGAAAAUUUUUUAUUUUAUUUUUAGUGAAUUAUACAGUAAAUUAUUGACAAUUUAACAAAAAAUAUUUCAAAUAAUUGUUCAAAAAAUAAUAAAAUAAAUUAUUAUUUAAAUAAUAAAAAUGAAAUCGAUUAUUGCGUCAAAUGAUAUGGGUUCUCACGGCUAAACUAAUCAAAGUUAAAAAACGUGUCACUCCCAAACGAAUACCUUCGCAUGGAGGUCGCCCGGUGGGGCAACGCGCAAAUUGGAUUAGUGACUGAGAUUCUCGUUGCUCCUUUCCAAAUUAAAAUUUUCAAACGGAUGCUAAAUUGUUGAAUAAGACACCAAAUUCUAUUUCCACCUGUCGUUGUAAUGAUAUUAUAUCUUUGCUGCAUGUGUCACACUCUCACAUCCGUACAAGAAAUAUAAUAAAUAAAUAAUAUGAGAUAACGGAUGGUAAUAAUAUAGCAUGCCACCUCAGGUAUGUACCUCAGAAAUAUAAUUUAAAAAUAAAAAUAUAUAGAAACCCCUUUAAUUUAGGUUAAUUUAAAAUGUAUAAGGAAUAUUUCAAAUUUGAUAAAAGGUUUAAAAUGUAUAAGAAAUAUUAACGUUUAUGUGCAUAUAAAAUUUUUAAAAUUAACAUGAAGUUUCCCUUAGUUAGUAAUUAAUUUUAAACACUUAAAAAUUAACAUGAAAUUUCACUUAAGUAGUAAUUAAAAUUUUAAACGCUUUAUUUGAGAAUAAAAUCAUAAAUUAAAAUUAAUGAAUUGCACUUGAUAGUCUCAACUUACCCGAGCGGUUCGGCAUUCAUUUGAAAUUGUUAAUAUACUAUGGACUUCCUUGUUAUCUCCUAGUUAUGGAAGUGACUAAUGUAGCAUUUAUUUUUUUGUUUGAAAUUUAAAUAAACUUGAAUUAGUCACUAUUUUAAAUAGUGUUGAAUCUAAAUCAUAUUUUUUUUGUUUGAAUUACCAAAAAUAAGUAAUAAUUUAUUCUUUCUUUUAACUUAAAAAUAUGAAAAUCAGUAUUUCUACAUUUGUGCUCAUAGAAAUUAAAAAUGUUAAAUAAAGAAUAAAUAUUUCAAAGAAAAUAAAUAAAAUAAUAUGUUAUCAUAACAUAUGGUUAUUGCGAUCUUAAUAAAAGAUUUACUUUUUCUAUCCGUCGGUGUAGGCCAAUGACCGAACCAUAUUAAUUCUCCGUGUUUUUCUUAUUAUAUAACCUUAGCUAAACUAGUUCUCUAGUUGACCGCAUUUCUACAUCUAACAAUUCUUGUGAUGUAUAGGCAGCUGAAACAAUUUUUUGCGUUUUAAAACCUUUCUGACUGUAUAUCAUCAUUUUUUUUUUACGCACACCAGGAUUUGUGACGGCUAUACGGCCAAUCUCCGAUGCAAUAAAUAAAUAAAUAAUAAACGACGUCUAUUUCCACCGCAUAUGACUAUUACGCCAACAUUAUGGAAGUUCCUCACAAAUUUACGAAAAUGACCCUUUAUCUAAUAUUUUGAUAUUUUGUAAUUCUAUCCUCAUCAACAUUUUUAUAUUAAUUAAAAUUUUUAACGAACAUCAGUUGUAAGGUCCACAUCACAAUGACACAUCGUUAGAUACGUGACUACACGCACUAUGACACAUCAAGAUCACAAUGUUUUUAAUUAAGUUCAGUCUUAUUACAAAUGCACAACUGUCUGUCUACUAAUCUUUUUAUGUUUGGGAGUUAGAGUAAGUGUAGGAUUAGAUUAAUUUUCUAGACAAAAUAUUUAUUCCAUGUUUGACGGGCUCGCUUAAAUUUGAUUAAGAGGAUUAAAUUCAAAUUUAUUUUUACAAUUAUAGGAUUAGUUAUCAUAAUUUUCACAUGGGUUUAAGGAGAAUUAGAGUAAGCAAUGCUUGUCCCUUUAUGACAAUCUGUUUGUUUAUUAAUGAGUUGUUAUCUAUUUAAUUAAUUAUUUAUUUUUAUUCAUGAUUUCUUAAAAAUUAAGUAUUUAUUUUUUAUUCUACCCAUGUCAUCUUUUAUCAUUUAUUUAUUUAAUGUUAAAAGUAAUGCAUUAACAAAAUUACUUUUUAGAAACAUGCCAUUUAUCAUUUGAUUAUUAUACAAAUAUUUUUAAAAUAUUUGAUAAAUAAUUAAUUUUAUAUUUAACUAUUUUAGUUAUAUUUUUUUAAUAGGCAAUAAUAUGCAUCAUAUAUAAAAGCAUAUAAUUUUCAUAAUUUUAGUUGUUCUUGUUAAAAACCAUUUAAUUUCACUUAAAUUUAAUUUAACAUAGUGUAAUUAAAUAUUAUACUAAAUAUAAGAUUGUACUACAUAGAAAAAAACAAUGUAAUCCAAUUCAAUUUAAUCUAAUUGAAUUUUAAGUCUAUUUAAUCAUGCUUACUAAACGUAGCCUAACCUAUAACUAAAUCAUACAGUAUAUGAUUGAUUGAUAAUGAAAGAGUAAUCGCUGGCAGACUUAUGUUGUGGCUUGAGUCCAUUUCUUUGGAAAUAUUACAUCCAAUUUGGCCCUGCCAAUCGACCAGAUAGUUCAAAUUGACAAAAUGUCAAAAUCAAUUCAAUUGCGUGCACGCAGGUGUUGGCUUUCACUUUGAAUUUUUUCAAUUUCUAAUUUUUGGCAAAAGGCUAAACUAAUAAAAAUCAUAAAGCUGGUCAAUCCCACAACCAAACACGAGGUCCAUUCGAGUUUGAUUUACCACUCCUCUACGGAGUUAUUACACGACACUCUUAUUAAGCGUCACUUUGUGGGAUUAGAGGAAAAGGUUAAAGUUUGCUUACAUAAUCAUAAAGACCCCCUUAAUUUUUUAAAUUGUUACAAUCCUUAAUUUUAUAAAUAGUUAGACAAGUCUUUUUUUAACCAUUAUACCCUUGAUUACAACUAUUCAAUAUUCACUUUAAAUAAACUUUUAUUACAACAAUUCAAUAUUCAUUUUAAAUAAACUUUUACAAUAAAUAUAAAUUAAAAUGAAAAAAAAAUGUAAUGUAUAAAUUAAGAUAAAAUGUGUAAAUUAUUUGGAAUAUUAGAAAAGUUAUUUUAACAUCAUUAAUCUGUCAUAUUCUUUUAAUAAUAAAAAAAUCUAUUUGACAUAUUAAUAAUGAUAAAAUAACUAUACCUAAUAUUCAUAGUAAUUUAUAAAUUUUAUAUUAUUCUAUUUACUAUGUCUUUUUUUAAUUAUGUCUAUCAGUAUAAUAAAUUAAAGUCAAUUUUUGGAUUAAUACAUUUUAGUAUUAAUAAAUUCCAUCAGGAUAGACUAAUAACAACUUAAUAUUUAAGAUAAUUCAUUAUAUAGGCAAUUUUAUUAAAUAAACUUAUUGUAAUUUUUUAUUUAUAUCAUAUUAUAUAUUUUUAUUAUUUUUAUCUUAUUAUUGUAUUUAUAUUAAUUCAGAUUGUUAUAAUUAAAGGGUAUAAUAAUCAUUUAUGAAAUUAAGGUGUCUAUCUGACCAUUUAUGAAACGAAAGAGGGUUUAUGUGACCACUUAACAAAACCUUACGGUUGUGGGUGGCCUUUUCCCAUUCGAUUAUGCAGGAAACUAAGAUUCUGGUUACUUCUUUCCAAAUUAUGAAUUUCAAAUUCAAAUGCAUGUUGAAUUGCUGAAUAAGAUAUAAGUAUGGCAAAAUUUCCCGAUAGUAAUACUCUAUAUAGAAUUAAUUUUUAGUUAAUAAUAAAAAAUUUUGAUUUCAGUUUAGACCAGUUAUACAUAAGAAUAAACUUCAUAUUGUAAUAAAUUAUAGCUUUUUAAUCCAAUUUUAAGAGUUUUUAGAUCCCAUUUUAAGAAACUUGCCUCCACAUAGUAAUAAUUAUUAGUGUAGCGUAAAAAUAUAUGUUAUGUUAUAUUAAAGGAACUUACUUCCAGAUAGUACAAUUACACAAUGAGAGAUAAUUAAUGAAGAGAAUGCAAAAAAUUAGAGAUUUUUAAGAUGACUUUAAUAUUCCUAAUAAUAGUGCAUUGAUACAUUGUACUUAUUUUUUGAUAUAUUAAGAUUUGAUAUGCUCCAUUAAUAAAUUAUUAAUGUAUUACAUACUUUACCUCUAUAUUCUUACACUAAGGAUAAAUAAGUUAAAACAAUAAUUUUCGUAACUACUCAUCUAUUAAGUAAUAAUUUCUUCAUUGCAAUUAACUAAUUUGGUCCUAAUAUUAUAAGUAUAGAGAGAUAUUGCUAUAUUGAGAUUGAUUGAUAGAGCACACCAGCCUUGAAUUUCGUUAAUGUCCCUAUAUGGUACCAUUUCACACACAUCAAUAAUUUUACAUUGUAAAAAUACGGAGCCAUUAAUCAUGUAAAGAUUGUCAAUUCCCCCCCCCCCCCCCCUCCCGCCCGCCAGACCAUUAUUGGCCAUCUAUUUUGUUAUUUUAUUAUUGUUUUUAUAAUAACCUCUAAGCCAAUUUUUUAAAGGAAAUUGGUGGGCUCAAAAUUCAAAUAGCCCCACCAUUAUUAAAUUAACUUAAAAUCGUUUCCGUAGAAAGUAGGGUAUUAUUGAAAUUGAUUAUGCGAAAGAUAUUUUACGUGGCCCGCGAUCAAAUAGAUGUAAAUAAAGUUAACGUUAUUGCAAGAGUGAAUUGGCAUUGUUCAUAAAAAUUACAAUUCAUUAUAAGAGGAUUGCCAAUUGCUCUCCUACAGUAAUCAACAUAUACCAUUUUCUCCUCUAUUAUUUUUAUAAUGGCCAAAACCCCCCUGAUAGAAUAAAUUUACGAUAUUACCCUUAUUUUCAACUACUUUUUAUUUAUAUUUAUUAUAAAUUAAAUAAAUGACAUGAAUAGAAACUAAAUAAAAAAUUAAGCAUUAAAGAUAAGAAAUAUAUGUUUUGAUAUGAGAAAAAAAUUAAUAAUAAAUUUUUUUUCUUGUACUUAUUUAUUUUGUGAAAUUUUUCUUAUAAUAAAUAUAUAAGAAAGUUAUUAUAAAAUGAUAAAAAAUUUAUUAUAAGAAAAUUUGAAUGACAAAUAAAAAUUUAUUAUAAGAUAAAUAAUAAAAUAUUUUGCCUAUACUUUUUACAUUUAAUUUUAAAAUAUUACAAAAUAUUUAUUAUAAGAAAAUAUUCACAAAAUAAAUAAUUACAAGAAAAAAAAAUUUACUAUUAAUUUUUGUGCUCAUAUCAAAACAUAUAUUUCUUAUUUUUAAUACUUAAUUUUUUUAUUUAGUUUCUAUUCAUGUAAUUUAUUUAAUUUAUAAUAAAUGUAAAUAAAAGAAUAAUUAAAAAUAAGGGUAAUAUUGUAAACUUAUGCUAUCAUGGGGGUUUUUUACCAUUAUAAAAACAGCAAGGGGUAAAUAAUAUAUGUUAAUUACUAUAGGGGGGAAAGUGGCAAUCCCCGUCAUUAUAAAUAGUAAUGCCAUUGAUAACAUUCUUUCACAUUUUCUUUAUUACUGCAUAUAGCAAUGAAACCGAACAUGAGCGGUGUCCUUGUUUUUGCCUUAUUUCUCUUUGAAAUACUUGCCAUAGCAACCAUUAGCAUUAGCUUCUGCAACGGAAGUUCUUAUCACGGGGGUUGCCUUGAAAGUGAGAGAGGAGCACUUUUAAGGCUCAAGCGAGAUCUUAAAGACCCUUCUAACAGGCUUGCUUCUUGGACUGGCAGCGGAGAUUGUUGUGCAUGGACUGGUGUUGUCUGUGACAACAUGACUGGCCAUGUGCUUCACCUCGACCUUCGAAAUCCUUUCAAUUAUUCCAAGGAGUCUGAAUAUGACGCUAUUCGGGGGACAGCGCUUGUUGGUAAGAUAAAUCCUUCUUUGCUUGAUUUAAAGCAUUUGAGUUACCUGGACUUGAGCUUCAAUGAUUUCCAAGGUGAUCGAAUUCCUAGAUUUGUUGGCUCCAUGGGAAAUCUACGGUAUCUCAAUUUUUCUGGAACUCGAAUCGGCGGAAUGAUACCUCAACAACUUGGAAAUCUCUCCAAUCUGCAGUUUCUUGACCUUAGUUCAAAUUAUUUAUUAUACGUUGACAAUUUUUUGUGGCUUUCUGGUCUUUCUGUCCUGGAACACCUCGAUUUGCGUUCUGUGAAUCUUAGCAAAGCCUUUGAUUGGCUGAUGGUAGCAAACAAACUCCCUUCUUUGGUAGAAUUAAGAUUGUCAAAUUGCCAACUCCAACACUUCUCUCCAUUAGCCACCGCAAAUUUUUCGUCUCUCACAGUGCUUGACCUUUCCCACAACCAAUUUGAUAACUCGUUCAUUCCUAGUUGGGUCUUUGGUCUAAGUCAUUUGCUCUUUCUUGACCUAGGUUUUAAUAAUUUUCAAGGUCCAAUUCUUGGGGGACUUCAAAACCUGACUUCCCUUAAACAUCUGGGUUUAGAUUCCAACUACUUCAACUCUUCAAUUCCCAACUGGUUGUAUAGAUUCAUCCAUCUUGAGUACCUUAGUCUUCGCAACAAUAAAUUGCAAGGUACAAUUGACUCAGAGGCUCUUGGAAACUUGACUUCCAUCAGUCGGCUCGAUCUCUCAUUAAAUACUGGUCUUGCAGGGAGAAUUCCAAGAUCCAUGGCAAGACUUUGUAAUUUAAAGUCAAUCAAUCUUCGGGGUGUCCAUGUGAGCCAAGAAAUUUCUGAGAUUUUAGAUAUUUUCUCGGGAUGUGUUUCUAAUGGACUAGAGAGUUUAGAUAUGCGGAGUAGUUCAAUAUAUGGUCAUUUGACUGAUCAGCUUGGCCAAUUUAGAAAUCUCGUCACUCUUAAUCUUGCUAAUAAUUCAAUUGUUGGUCCUAUUCCAGAGUCAUUUGGUCAACUCUCAACCUUGAGAGAACUACAGAUAUAUGAUAAUAAGUUAAACGGAACAAUUUCUGAACUUCACUUUGCCAAUCUGACAGCACUGUCAUGGUUCAGAGUCGGUGGAAACCAAUUGACGUUGGAAGUGAAGCAUGAUUGGAUCCCUCCUUUCCAACUUGUUGCAUUAGGAUUGCAUAGUUGUUAUAUAGGGUCUCGAUUUCCUCUAUGGCUUAAUUCACAAAGGCAUUUACAGUUUCUAGAUUUAGUCAACUCAAGAAUUUCAGAUAUUUUUCCCAUUAGAUUUUUGAAAUCUGCUUCCCAAUUAAAGAUUUUAGAUCUCGAACAAAACCAAAUUCACGGGGAGAUGCCAAAUCUAACCGAGUUUACUCAACUUUUGUUUCUUUCCAUGGAUUCGAAUAAUAUGUCUGGUCCAUUACCCCUCAUAUCAUCCAAUCUCGUUUACCUUGGCCUUUCAUAUAACUCAUUCUCCGGGUCAAUUUCUCAUUUCUUGUGUGACAAAAUCAACGAGACAAAGAGAUUAGAAGCUCUUAAGCUGAAUGAUAAUUAUUUACAAGGAGAAUUACCUGAUUGUUGGAUGAGUUAUCAAAAUUUGAAGAUACUUAAACUAAGUAACAACAAAUUCACUGGUAAUCUUCCAAACUCAUUUGGUAGUUUAGCUUCUCUUGUUUGGUUGGAUCUUGGUAAAAACAGACUGUCUGGGACAAUACCUGUUUCUCUUAAAAAUUGUACAGCAUUAGAGUCACUUGAUGUUGGUGAAAACGAGUUUGUUGGCAAUAUUCCAGCAUGGUUUGGAGAAAGAUUUUCAAGAUUGGUUGUUCUCAACCUUCGUUCCAAUAAGUUUCAUGGCCCUUUACCCACUAGAUUUUGUGAUCUAGCUAUUCUUCAAAUCUUAGACAUCGCGGACAACAAUCUCUCCGGAGCCAUACCAAAUUGCAUUAAUAAUCUCACUGGCAUGGUGACAGCGAACUCUUUUUCACGCAGUGCUCAGCAACAUCUACCUGUUCCUCUGGACGUGGAUGUGAUUCUUACGGAGAAGGCAUCAGUUGUGAGCAGAGGGGAAGUGGUUGAAUAUGAUGAGAUUCUUAAUUUGGUAACGGUGACGGCUGUUUCCAGGAAUGAUUUACCGAAAAAUGUUCCUUUGGAAGUGAGAAAUCUUAAAGCAACGCAGUCAUUAAAUUUUUCGCACAACACUUUCACAGGAAGAAUUCCUGAAAGUAUUGGUGUUAUGAGAUCAUUGGAGUCUGUUGAUUUUUCUGUGAACCAACUUUCGGGUGAAAUUCCACAGAGCAUGUCAAAUUUGAUGUCCUUGAAUUAUUUGAACUUGUCCAACAACAAGUUGACUGGGAAAAUUCCUUCAAGCACUCAACUCCAGGGCUUCGAUGCAUCUAGUUUCGCUGGCAAUGAUCUCUGUGGAGCUCCUCUUCCAAAGAAUUGUACUGAGAAUGUUUCAAAUUCAGAAGAUGAAAAUGGAGAUGAAGACGAAGAUGAAUUGGACCAUUGGUUUUAUGUAAGCAUUGCACUUGGCUUUGUGGUGGGAAUUUGGUGUUUUAUAGGCCCUUUGAUUUUCAAUAGAAGAUGGAGGUACAAAUAUUGUCAUUUCCUAAAUCGCCUUGAGAGGAGAGUUGUUUGUGUUGUAAGAAAACGUGGCUAGAUUUUCUCUGUUUUUGAGUUGUUCUGCUUCUUCAUGUACUGUGCUCACUGAAAGGAAUAGAAUAUUACUUAAAUUAAACGAAUGGCCUUUGAUUUGUUUGUGCCUGUAAGGGAAAAUUAAUGUGAAAUUAUUUUGAAAUAAAGCGAUGAUAUUCAUAUUCAAAAUCAUAGGAGACCUUCCCAACUCAACAAAAUUAGUACUGAUAAAUCAAAAUUGAAAAAAUAUAUUUUAUGGACAGUUCACCAUGUAUAGGCUCAAUGAUUUUUAUACUAAAAAAUAUCAUAAAUCACAACAUUGGUAUCAAAAUGUUAAGAUCUUGAAAAAAUAAAUGGAAAAGCUUCUUAGAUUAACAAGCAGCACUGCAACAGGGGAGUGGGCUCAACUAUUCUCUAUUAUGCAAUCUUGACCCAUACUUCUCUCUUUUUUCACAUUUUAUCUAUGGAAUAUUUUCAAUGCAACAUUGAGAUUCACAACUAUCCAUGUAAAGACUAAUUGAAGAAAAAAAAUCCACUCUCCUCCUUAAAAGCAAAUAAAUAAAUAAAGCUUAGUCUUGGUUUAUUUCAUUAAAUAGAGUUAGUCAAUAACAUGUCAUGAGAUAUAUGGAUAGUUGUCCAUUUACUAUAUAACAAUCGAUUGGGUUAAAGUCGUCAAAUCUGAAUAUUGUUAUCUAUUGACUUAAAAGUCGUUUGCGUGGAAAUGAGGUGAAUCCUAAUCCAACUAACAGUACGAUAAUGUUGAAUUGGAUUAUGCGGAAGAAUUAUAAGGUCACACGUUAAGUUCAUUAAUUUGAAAGAGAGAAAUGGCCUUAUAAAUAGCAAGGUUGUUGGUAACACAAAUUCAAAUAGACAUUGACUCUGAUUAAACCAAAGAUGAGUGUUGUUCUCGUUUUUGCCUUGUUUCUCUUUGUAUUACUUGUCAUUAGCAUUAUCUUCUGCAAUGGAAGCUCUGAUCAUAUGGGUUGCCUUGAAAGUGAGAGAGAACCACUCUUAAGAUUCAAGCAAGAUCUCCAAGACCCUUCCAAUCGGCUUGCUUCUUGGAAUAUUGGUGGAGACUGUUGUACAUGGGCCGGCAUUGUCUGUGAUAACGUGACAGGCCAUAUCAUUGAGCUUAAUCUUCGAAAUCCUUUCACUUAUUACCAUCGGUCUCGGUAUCAAGCUAAUCCAAGGUCAAUGUUGGUUGGUAAGGUAAAUCCUUCUUUGCUUGAUUUAAAUCAUUUGAGUUAUUUGGGCUUGAGCUUUAAUGAUUUCCAAGGGGUUCAAAUUCCUAGAUUUAUUGGUUCUAUACGGAAUCUAAGGUAUCUCAAUCUCUCUGAUACUCAAUUUGUAGGAAUGUUACCUCCCCCGCUUGGAAAUCUCUCCAAUCUAAAGAGUCUUGACCUUAGUUUGAAUUAUUUAUACGUUGAGAAUUUUUUGUGGCUCUCUGGCCUUUCAUUUCUGGAACAACUCGAUUUGUGUUAUGUGAAUCUCAGCAAAGCCUCUGACUGGCUGUUUGUAGCAAACACACUCCCUUCGUUGGUAGAAUUGAGAUUG